CUUUGGUGGCUCAUUGCUGGGCUCAUGAAACUGCCUGCCGGCCUCUGUGGUCAUGGUGGCACAGGCCUGUAAUCUCAGCACUCAGGAGGCUGAGACAGGAAGAUCACCUCAAGUUUGAGGCCUGCCUGGGCUACAAUAAUGAGUUCAAGGCCAGCCUGCACUACAUAGCAAGACCCUGUCUCAGGAGAAAAAGAAGACAACGAAAAGGGGAAGGAGGGAAGAGGGAAAAGGAAGACCACAUGCUAUGAGAAAGACCUGAAAUACUAUCAGAAACUGGGAGGCGAAAAAGUUGGUCUUGACUAAGGAAAUCAGAAAAGACUUCCUGGCGUUGGUGACAUUUGCAGGGUGAACAGAAUUUCUCCGAUCAGGAAGGACUGCUGGGCUUCUGGGUAUGAAGGACGAAAAAAAUCACAGAAGCAUUGAUAAUGCGUGCACACGUGCAGGGUAGGGUGGAGUUUAAUGAUAUAACAAUAAGAGGAGAAAUUUCCCCAUCAGAGCUGAAGGGUUCCUGCUGAUGGAUUUCAGAUCCUUUGCUUUCUGAAGGCCUGACCGACCCAGGGCCAGGAGGGUCUGAGAGGAAGAAGGACAGUGGCAGACGCACGGCCUCAGUGCUGCUCCCACUCUGUCACGAUUUGACUGCCUUUUUAAUGAGCUCGCUUCAAGCUCAGGGAGCGGGCGGGUUCUAGGCAAAUGUGAACACCCUGCCGUGACUCAUGGCCCAGACCUGUGCCAAGACCCAGGAGGGUAGCCCGGCCGUCUCCACCCCGCCUGGCCUGGGCCCGCCCCUGGGCCCGCCUGGCCACCCCCGCUGAAAGCUCCUGAGGGCGCCAGCUCGGAAAUCAGAGACUAGGGCAGCUCCUCCACAGUACCUCUGCAAAGUCAACUGGGAAACCGCCCACGCUGCGACUACUUUGUGACGCGGCGCCAUCUAGUGGUAGCAGGCAGAAGCGCCACUCGGUGGCAUGGCUUCCGCUAAAACCAGCCAGGCCCGUGGACGUGCCGCCAACCAGGAAGAUUUGCUGCUAGAGUCAAGGUCCUACUUGACAGGUCCCCUAAGUUGGACCCCCACCCAAGCAGACCCAUCCAUGCUCAGGAGCACUGAGAUAACAAGAAGCCAGCAGCACCCUGCUCCUCCUGACACCACCCUGUUUAUCAGCCAGCCACAGGACCACCACCCAUGGGACUCUAAAAUUUUCCACACUCUUGACCAGUGCCCCCUCCCCUACCUAAACUGCCCCAUAUCAACCAUGCACACCCUCCCCUCAGUGCCAACGGCCUUCUCGCCCUUGGCCCAUCUCCACCCAGAUGGCAAUAAACUCAUUGCAUGUUGCUUAGACUUUGCCUGCCUCAGUGGUCUCAGUCGUGCCUCCGUCUGACCUUACACUCACUAUUGAUUCCCCACAGUCUUGUUACAUUAUCGCUUUGGUUUGAUCAAUAUAUUUUGGCACUCUUAGAAAUACGGUGCAGAAAUUCAAAGUAUUUGUUUCCUUAUAACCCCUGGAAGUGAUAAAAUCUGGGAAAGGAAACUAGGGUGAAGCCUCGAGUUACUGGUUGGGCUUCGUGAGGCGGCAGGGUUCUCUGGCUCAUCUACUGUGUUACAGUGUAAACCUUACCUUGUGUUCGUAUGAUCUCUAACCACUCAGCU
rnacentral:lncRNA from 1 species